AACGAACGCUGGCGGCAUGCCUAACACAUGCAAGUCGAACGAGACCUUCGGGUCUAGUGGCGCACGGGUGCGUAACGCGUGGGAACCUGCCCUUAGGUUCGGAAUAACUCCCCGAAAGGGGUGCUAAUACCGGUUAAUCUCUUCGGACCAAAGAUUUUUCGCGUUUGGGUGGGCCCGCGUUGGAUUAGCUAGUUGGUAGGGUAAAAGCCUACCAAGGCGACGAUCCUUGGCUGGUCUGAGAGGAUGAUCAUCCACACUGGGACUGAGACACGGACCAGACUCCUACGGGAGGCAGCAGUGGGGAAUAUUGGACAAUGGGCGAAAGCCUGAUCCAGCAAUGCCGCGUGAGUGAUGAAGGCCUUAGGGUUGUAAAGCUCUUUUACCCGGGAUGAUAAUGACAGUACCGGGAGAAUAAGCUCCGGCUAACUACGUG
rnacentral:rRNA from 1 species